UCCUGUCAUGCCUAUGCUCAGGGGAAAUACUUCACCCCAGCAAGCCUCAAAGAUGAUUCUUGGACACAUAUAACCCAGCCAUGAAUCGUCUUUCUGCAGAUCCUAAAAUAAUGGUCCAGCUUGGCCAUGGAUUUACAAUCUCUAAAACUUCAUGCCCAAAGAAACCUUUUUCACACCAUUUCUCUCAGGAUCUUUUGCUUUGCAGGUCUUCAUCGAAGAGGACCCCAGCUGUUUUUCCUCCAGAACAGAUUAAAACAUCGAAUGCUCACCCUCUGCUUAGGAUUAGACUAAGGAGGUGAAUGCUCACACAGAUGUGAAGCUCAACUCUGAGAAAUAGACACAGGGAGAGACAGAUCAAACAAUGAGAAGCCCUGAAUACUUGUCAAUAGAGAAAAAAAAAUUAAUCUACUCCAGAAACUGAGAAUAAAGAAUUUCGACUUGCAAAGACCUUUCUCAGAAGAAAAUAAAACGAACAUAAAUUUUAGAAUAAUGCGUUAGUGAGGAAUGCAUGGGAGAAUGGUGUGUCAGAGGGGACUUUGAACUCACAGAACAGAGGGCCCAGAGAAGAACUUAGAAUGCUGGGCUUUGUAACAGCGUACUUUCUCUCUGAUAUCACGGAACCAGGUGAGAGAGACAUGAAGAUGUGGAAAUGUGCGGGUGUCGCAAAGUGAAGCAGGAGCCUGAGAAGUCCGAGGAAGAGCAUGACGAGAUGAG
rnacentral:lncRNA from 1 species